rfam:Bombyx mori DNA, contig: Bm_scaf10_contig8382, strain: p50T/Dazao, build 2, whole genome shotgun sequence.
UUAACUCAAAUUUGUAUUGAGUUGGAACGUUUACCUACGCUGGCCGCUAGAGGCGCUGUUUCAACUGCAUACAAAUUUUAGUUA